UCAUACGUAGGAUCCAAGCAUUAUCCGGAAUUACUGGGCGUAAAGAGUUGCGUAGGUGGCAUUGUAAGCGGGGCAUGAAAUCGUGUGGCUCAACCAUACGGCUAUGUUCUGAACUGCAAAGCUAGAGGACGAGAGAGGUCACUGGAAUUCCAAGUGUAGGAGUGAAAUCCGUAGAUAUUUGGAGGAACACCGAUGGCGUAGGCAGGUGACUGGCUCGUUCCUGACACUCAGGCACGAAAGCGUGGGGAGCAAACGGG
rnacentral:rRNA from 1 species